AGUUUGAUCCUGGCUCAGGAUGAACGCUAGCGGCAGGCUUAACACAUGCAAGUCGAGGGGUAAGUCCCGAUUUAUCGGGAACACGACCGGCGCACGGGUGAGUAACGCGUAUGCAACUUACCACUAACUGGGGGAUAGCCCGAAGAAAUUCGGAUUAAUACCCCAUAAUGUUAUAGUAUCGAAUGGUACUAUGAUUAAAGUUUCGGCGGUUAGAGAUAGGCAUGCGUGCCAUUAGUUUGUUGGUGAGGUAACGGCUCACCAAGGCAGCGAUGGCUAGGGGAUCUGAGAGGAUGGUCCCCCACACUGGUACUGAGACACGGACCAGACUCCUACGGGAGGCAGCAGUGGGGAAUAUUGGGCAAUGGACGAAAGUCUGACCCAGCCAUGCCGCGUGCAGGAUGACGGCCUUAUGGGUUGUAAACUGCUUUUGUACAGGAAGAAUUGCCUCGACGCGUCGAGGUUUGACUGUACUGUACGAAUAAGCAUCGGCUAACUCCGUGCCAGCAGCCGCGGUAAUACGGAGGAUGCAAGCGUUAUCCGGAUUUAUUGGGUUUAAAGGGUGCGUAGGCGGGAUAGUAAGUCAGUGGUGAAAUCUUUCGGCUUAACCGGGAAACUGCCAUUGAUACUGCUUUUCUUGAGUACAGUUGAGGUAGGCGGAAUGUGUAAUGUAGCGGUGAAAUGCUUAGAUAUUACACAGAACACCUAUUGCGUAGGCAGCUUACUAGACUGUUACUGACGCUGAGGCACGAAAGCGUGGGGAGCGAACAGGAUUAGAUACCCUGGUAGUCCACGCCGUAAACUAUGAUCACUCGUUGUUGGCGAUACACUGUCAGCGACUGAGCAAAAGCAUUAAGUGAUCCACCUGGGGAGUACGACCG
rnacentral:rRNA from 1 species